rnacentral:rRNA from 1 species
UCCCAGACUCCUACGGGAGGCAGCAGUGGGGGAUAUUGCACAAUGGGGGGAACCCUGAUGCAGCGACGCCGCGUGGGUGAAGGAGUAUUUCGGUAUGUAAAGCCCUAUCGGCAGGGAAGAAGCAAGACGGUACCUGACUAAGAAGCCCCGGCUAACUACGUGCCAGCAGCCGCGGUAAUACGUAGGGGGCGAGCGUUAUCCGGAUUCACUGGGUGUAAAGGGAGCGUAGACGGCCAUGCAAGCCAGGGGUGAAAGCCCGGGGCCCAACCCCGGGACUGCCCUUGGAACUGUGCGGCUAGAGUGCGGGAGGGGCAGGCGGAAUUCCUGGUGUAGCGGUGAAAUGCGUAGAUAUAUGGAGGAACACCGGUGGCGAAAGCGGCUCUCUGGCCUGUAACUGACACUGAGGCUCGAAAGCGUGGGGAGCAAACAGGAUUAGAUACCCCAGUAAA